GAAGAUAAACAGAUCCCCUUUCUCUGCUCUAUCAUUAUAGUCCCUCAAGCUGGCUGUACCAAAUCGAAUGGCAUGCUCCUACAUCACCAAAGCUGCGAAGGAGAUGCUCUUGGAGGUCAAGUCUGGCGGAAAUGCGGAUGUGCAUUCAAGCCGCAGAUCUUGCGUCGCCUACCAGCAAGGCCGCAUCUCACUAUUUCUGCUUUGUAGAGGCAUAUCGGUCGCCGGGUAGGCCACCGGAGAUUAUGAGGGGUAUUGCUUGCUGUUAGGUUCUCCGACAGUGUUCUACUCUCCUGUUCGUGGCUCUGGGACAGAGAGCUGUGUCGUUGGGUUGAACGACCAUCUUCUCCAUAGCAUUCCACGUCUGAGGCGGAGCAGCAAGGACAGAGUCUGUAGGCAAAGGCAGGUUUUGGGCUUCCUCAUUGCUGGUGCCAUCGCCUUUCACCCAUUAAUUUGCUACAACUUUGCAUCAUUUCUACUUCGUCGAGAGUGGCUUAUUCUUGACAUGUAUAUUGUAGGUAGCUCAAAGUUCACAAUCCUGAAAAAACAACCUCAAAACUCAAAGUUAGCAAUCUGAAGAAGUUGAGAGACGUAAGUAAAUCAAGUAUGGUCCAUUCUAGCUGAUAUGACUCCAUUAACACUCCAGGUUUUGGAGUCUUGUUUUCCUCGGAAGUGGUCAUAUCAUAUCUUAGAAGUUUGUUACAGUACCUGAUUUGUCUGAUUUUUGUGCCUCAUUCUAGUAAUUUCUUAUAAUGUUCUUUUGUAAAACAUUUUCUUCUUCUAGUGUUCCUUUCAUAUUUCUAUCUAUCUUGAUCAUUUUUGUUAAGUUUCUUCUGCACACAUAUGAAGUUAGUCAAGUAUAGUAAUAUUAGUUAACAAACAGAGUCACUAUUCAUUAGUUGAUAACUAAUAACUGAUAAAAGAUACAGUUCCAUACCUGCCAAGAAGUUCCUCGGCUUCGAUUAUAUCUACCCUAUAUAAUUCUUGUGGAAUUGGUAAUCAAUGGUAAAUGUCUUAGUUAUUUUCCCUGUAAAUAACAAACUAUAUUGUAACAUUACUGGAUUGAACUUCUGCACCAUCAAGGUCACAAUAGGGACAGUUUAGCUGCAGAUUAAAUCACCAUUCGAAAAAUAAGGAAACUUUAUCCAUAACGUAACUCCUAUUUUUAUCACCCCUAAAGAGUUCUUUUUUUUAUUAUUGACUCCACAUGCUUCAUUUGGGUGUUAAUCCAAUCACAAUAAAUUUGGAGAUUAAUCGCUUCACUGUUAGAAAGAUUAAUUAGAUAAGAGUCUUAAUUCAAACCACAGAGUAUAGAGUAUAGACAUACCUGAGCAUUGUUUAUUUUAUCUACUUGUUUUUGUACUUAAUCCAUACCACUGAUUAUAAUUAUAAUUUAACCUCUACAGAUUGUAGCAUGGAUUUUUAAAUGUUGAUAGUAGCAUGAACUCGGUUGGGCCCUGUCAAAACAAUAAAAUAUAAUUAGGGAUUGGUGUCCAAAACAAUAGAGAAAUCUGUAAUAUGUAAUGCAUUUUUUGGUCCAUCAAAAUUAUAUUGAGGCUAAUAAGCUCAUCAGCAAUUGUCGCUAAGUCAUUAAGCUUCUUGUAUGCCAUAUUUUUUGGGGUUUAAUAGGAGUUGAAAACAACUGAUAGAGUACCUAUGUAAAUUUUAUGCUGAUAAGUGAAUUUAGUAAUAGUAGUACUUACUAACCUUGAUGAUUCAGGUUAGAGACAACUCAGAAGGUUGGGCCUGACUUUGUCGGCACUCGAGCUGAACCCGGCGUUGAAGUUUGGCUAAUUUUCUUGGCUAAUUUUCUUGUUUGUCUAUUGUUGAAUCACUGGAUGCAUGACAUAAUCGGCAGACUUCGAUUUCGCUGGUGACGCGUUGGUUUAUAGUAGAUUUGUCUGACUUCAGUUUUCCAAAAAAAAUAUUGAUCCUAAAUCUUGGGCUGCCUUGCUGUGUGCUGGAUGUGGCUGGUCGAGUGCCUUUAUAUUUGUCAUUGGCUUGGCGGAGUCUGUGUGGAGAUUUUUUCCAGAGGCGUUUGGGCUCUUGCUUUUUUUGACACAUGGCGUCUGGGCUCUUGCUGGUUAAUCCGUGUGGAGUUUUGCUUGCCUUAUUUGCAUGCACCAGUCUGUGGUUGUGUCGGACACAUUGAUGGAGACGUGCUAGAUUUUUCUUUUUGAGGUUUGAAGACGUGCUAGAUGACAGGCGUGUCAGGCAACUAUUUGUACCUCAUAAUAGUUAUAUGUAAUUUUUGUAUAUUUUUUAA